GCCCAGACUGAUACCUCAGUCAGUAAAGCAUGAGACUCUUAAUCUCAGGGUUGUGGGUUCAAGACUCAUGUUGGGUG